CAGCAGCCGCGGGAACACGUAGGGUGCAAGCGUUAUCCGGAAUUAUUGGGCGUAAAGAGCUCGUAGGCGGUCUGUCGCGUCUGCUGUGAAAACUGGGGGCUCAACCCCCAGCCUGCAGUGGGUACGGGCAGACUAGAGUGCGGUAGGGGAGAUUGGAACUCCUGGUGUAGCGGUGGAAUGCGCAGAUAUCAGGAAGAACACCGAUGGCGAAGGCAGAUCUCUGGGCCGUAACUGACGCUGAGGAGCGAAAGCAUGGGGAGCGAACAGGAUUAGAUACCCGCGUAGUCCCUGUCUCUUAUAC
rnacentral:rRNA from 1 species